rnacentral:lncRNA from 1 species
AAAAAAUUCAAAAGCAAAUCCAAUACAAAGCAUAUAAAGUAGUCUUCUUCUAUACUUAAGCUCUCAUAUUCAAUAUUUUCCUUCUACUUUCAUAACUUCCUCUUCUUUAAUUGAAUUUUUCAAUCUUAGUUAACGAUUUUGAACUAGCAGAAGUUUUCUUCAACUUCAUCUUUUCUUUUGCUAUUCUCUACACUCCAGUCUCCCAUUUUAUUUCGUAUGGCUCAUAAAAAGUCCAACACAACCCAACAAAUCUAGCAAUAGCUAGUACAAACUCCAAAAAAAAUAGGUGGAGUUAUUUCUAGUAUUCCCUCCAUUUUAAAAUAUAUAUUAUUUCCUUCGUUCGCUUUUACUUAUGAUUAAUUUUUUAAUUGAAUUUCUACUUAUAGACUUGUUUCUAGUAUUCCCUCCAUUUUUAAAUAUUUAUUACUUUCCCCAUUCUCUUUUACUUAUCAUUAAUUUUCUAAUUAAAUUUCUACUUAUUAUUUUUAACAUAUCAAGAAAAGACAAUUUUUUUCUAUUUUACCCUUAACAUUAAUUAUUUUCUAUCCAAAUUAAUUUCAAAACAUAAAUAUAAACAUCAUUUAAUAUGUGUACUAUGAUAAAAUGUCCAUAUUAUUAAUUAUUUUUUCUUAAUAAGUGUGUCAUCUCAUUUUGUAACGAAUAAAACUGAACGAAAAAAAUAUAUUUUUUAUUUGCAAGUUCCUUUAAGAAAUUAUGUAACAAUUCGAAUUUCUCAACAUAACAAUAACAAUAAUGUGUAUUAUACUUGCUGAAUUUAAAUUACAACUUAGAAUUGAAAUAACAAGAUAAUAGUUGACAAUAGAAAUAGAGAGAUCUUAGAGUAAUGAAGAAGAAAAUGACUAGAAGAAGAUGAGAUACUAGAACAUAAAAGGAGAUUAGAGGAUAACAAUCUAAAUCAAAGCUUCAACAUAAUUUGCAAAACGCAUUUAAUAGGUAAUUGGUGUCUCCUAACAUGCUUGUGUAAUUAGAAUCCCAGAGAAAUCCAUUCUAUUAUUAGGUUGUAACCUCGCCUCAGACCCAAAUCCAUCAUUUAUUAUAUUAUUACUUGUUUGGUCUACAAAGCCUAUUACAGGGGUCGUAACAAACUAUAAAUCUUUACCAUCUCACCCUUAUUUAAUUUCUUUAAUUAUCUCUUUUUAAUCUCUCUAAUUAAUGAAAAGUGUGACUUUUUUCAAUAAAUAAAAAAUGUGUUAUUGAUAAGAUAGGGAAGAAAAACUCAAUUAUGUCUAAAUUUUUUUAAAAUGAUAAGUAUAAUGUAAUAAUAUCUACUUUUAGUAAGAACGACAAGUAUUUAAGAACGGAAUAGUAGUUGAAAAUGUGAAAUAUAUCAGUAUCACUAAAAGUUACUACUCUCGCCGUUUAAAUUACUUGUCACUUAUUUUUUAAAUGAAUCUUAUCACUUUUAACAUAUCAAAAAAAAAAAAAAAUUAUGUUUAUCCUUGACAUUGAUUACUUAUUCUUCAAAUUAUUUUUUAGUAUUUAGUAUUAAACUUCAAUUAAUAGGGAUAAUUUGAUAAAAUCAUUAUGUCGAUCAUUGUUUUCCUACC